GCCCCGGUCACUCCACAAACAUGAUCGGCAAGCUGUGAAAAAAAGGAGGAAAAGUUCAAGCCCCUGGCUCGGGCUGCGGCAGUGUGGAGACCUGUCGCAACGCGGUACGGCCCAUCGCGGCUGACCGUGAGCAUAUUCGCGCGGAGGCGGAAUAUGCGGAGCCGGAAAACAUGGCA
rnacentral:ncRNA from 1 species